AUAAAACCAAGGCCAGGCCAAACAAGAAGGAUGUUGCCCAGCUCCUAGACCUUGAAUUCCAGUCAAGACGCGCAUUCAUUGACUCCGAUGUGACUAAGGAGCAAGACAGGCCUGUCAAGAUCCUUGAGGCGUAUCCCUGCUUUGGAGAAUUGGACCAUCUAAUGGAUGAACUCCGGCGGAUCCUCGAUCAAGGGAACCCCCACUUCCUACCUGAACUAAAUACCCGGCGGGCGACCUUUUUUGAGAGGGCACAGUUUUAUGGCGUUUUCAAGAAGGUCAUGAGGCCUCCACUGUUGGACAAAGCACAGCAGUCAAUCGCCCUGAUGAAGGCAUUGCCAGACUUAUUUCCAUCACCUGUGGCUCCACCCAAGAAGUUGGGACAUGGAAGUGAGGCUUUGCUUCACAUCCUUAAGCCUACAGAAGACCCCAACACCUUUCUACGAGCAAGACCACUCUCCAGCCCGGUCGUUGUUGUCAGUGAAACUAACUGCAUACUAUCUAUUGGAACCACCCCUGUGUUGACUUUCCCAAAAGAGGAUAUCGAUGCUAGCGUAAUGCAUCUCAUGGCAUGCUAUUACAUCUUUCACCUUACAGAUCCCAAGUGCGUUGGGAUAUACACUCAUGUCUGUGCUGCAGACCGAGGUUCUCCUGGAUGCCAUCCACGACCAGGACAUGACUUCCUCAUAUAGGAAGGCUAUAGGCGAGUGGAAGAAAUUCUUAGCUUAAAGUGGAAAUGAGAGUGGAUAAUCUUGUUUUGGUUUGUUUUGAGGCUGUUUUUUUUUUGCCUUACGUGUUUUUUACUUUUUAGUUUGCUGUUAAGUUCAGCUGCAUGACCUUCCCAAAAAAGGAUAUUGAUGUUAGCACAAUGUAAAAUGGCAUGCAUUAUCUUUCACCUUAGAUAUCCUAAGUGUGCACACUUCUGUCUGCGCAAGUUCUCUUGGAUACUAUCCACAGCCAGGACAUGACUUCCUCAUGUAGAUAGAUGCAUGUUUUUCACUUUUUAGUUUGCUCUUUAAAAAAUCUUCAUUGAAGAUCAUGCGCCGAGCUGGAGUGUUUAUUUGGAAAAAUCCGAUGAGUUUUUACAUAUCUCCAUUUCAAGUCAAAGAGUACUGUCAGUACGGAAAAAAACUGUUUGGUUUUACCUAGCUCAGCCAGCAGCUAACGCAGACAGGCAGCUACAGUGCUAAACUCUGGGGGCAUGUACAUUGAGGCUGCCAUGCCCCCAGAGUGAGGAGCUGUAGCUGCCUGUCUGUGUUAGCUGCUGGCUGAUGCAACUCGAGCUAGGUAAGACCAAACUGUUUUUGUUUUUUUUGUAUUGACAGUACUCUGUGACUUGAAAUGGAGAUCUAUGUAAAAACUCAUCGGAUUUCUCCAAUAAAACACUCCAGCUCGGCACAUGAUCUUCAAAACGUAUUAUUACAGGAAAAAUCCGACGAGUUUUCAUAUAGUUCUCCGUUUUGAGGUCAAGGAGUACUGUCGGUACGAAAGCCCCCCAAAAACAAUCGGUUUUACCUAGCAAGAGUUGCAUGUACAUGGAGGCUGCCAUGCCCCCAGAGUGAAGAGCUGUAGCUGCCUGUCUGUGUUAGCUGCUGGCUAAUGCAACUCUUGCUAGGU
ensembl:lncRNA